rnacentral:tRNA from 1 species
UCAGCCCCUGGCUGACGCGGUAGCGCGCCGGCGCCAGUCCGGCUCCCAGCAACCACUGGGCAAUGCCGGCGUUCAGGCUGCCGGUGGCUGGG